rnacentral:rRNA from 1 species
UCUUACAGCCAUACCACCCUGAAUGUACCCGAUCUUGUCUAAUCUCAGAGUCUUAGCAGGAUAGGACCUGGCUAGGACUUGAAUGUGAGAC